GAUGAACGCUGGCGGUGUGCUUAACACAUGCAAGUCGAACGAUGAAGCCCAGCUUGCUGGGUGGAUUAGUGGCGAACGGGUGAGUAACACGUGAGUAACCUGCCCUUAACUCUGGGAUAAGCCUGGGAAACUGGGUCUAAUACCGGAUAGGAGCGUCCACCGCAUGGUGGGUGUUGGAAAGAUUUAUCGGUUUUGGAUGGACUCGCGGCCUAUCAGCUUGUUGGUGAGGUAAUGGCUCACCAAGGCGACGACGGGUAGCCGGCCUGAGAGGGUGACCGGCCACACUGGGACUGAGACACGGCCCAGACUCCUACGGGAGGCAGCAGUGGGGAAUAUUGCACAAUGGGCGCAAGCCUGAUGCAGCGACGCCGCGUGAGGGAUGACGGCCUUCGGGUUGUAAACCUCUUUCAGUAGGGAAGAAGCGAAAGUGACGGUACCUGCAGAAGAAGCACCGGCUAACUACGUG
rnacentral:rRNA from 1 species